rnacentral:lncRNA from 1 species
AUAAGGUAUAGACUUCGUAAGCGUUUAUGAUUAACUUACCCGUGACAACUUCGUUCGGGUUCCUCGACAAACACUCUUACUUAAACUACCGACUUUGACUUGUCUGGGACAUCCUUUGGCGUCACCAUCCCAGCUGGACUUGACUUCACUACACGACAAAAUCGAGCUAGGUGACCUUCUCUUUCGCAAUUGAAACACGCUUUGGAUUACUGCGUACAGUUUAGACGGAUGUGUCCCUCCUGUCCGCAUUUGAAACAUACGACCGGUGGUCGUUCUUCUUCCUUUGAAACGGGUGCUGAUGCUGCUGUCUUUCCAUCAUUAUUGAACCUUCUCUUCUUGAAAUUUUUACUUCUAUUAUCUUAGCCAUGAUUACCACCGAAGUAGUUACAAUUCUUGGCAUGAUAAUUUCCCCCACGAUGGUUAUCAUUGUUCCGAUGGCCGUUGCCACCGGUACAAUUAUUAUCGUGUUGUUGGUUGUUGCCUUUUGGUUGUGCUGACUCAUUAUCGCGCUCCAAUAACUAAGCCUUAUUCACAACAUCUAAAUAUAAACAAAGUUUGUGAGAAAUGAGGUCUUGACGUAUAUCAGGUUUCAAACCUCGCAGAAACAUUCGCGUUAUUCGCUCCUCAUUAUCGACCAAAUGGGAUGCAAACCGGGAUAAUUCCGCAAACUUAGCCUCGUACUGCGAUACGGUCAUAUUGUUUUGCUCCAGCUUGAUAAAUUCCACCUCCUUUAUGUGACGAAUACUUUUAGUAAAGUACUUGUCGUUGAACAGCUCUUGGAACUUCUCCCAAGACAUCUUGAGUGCUUCAGCCUGGGUACGUUUUACAGAUUCCCACCAGUAAUCUGCCUCUUCACGCAACAUAAAGGUGGUAAAGGGAACCUUUUGCUCCUCGGAGCAUCCCAAAACAUCAAAUAUCUUGAUGAUCUGCUUUAACCACGUCUCCGCCUUAAGUGGUUCUGGCUUUCCCAAAAACUCCGGUGGUCCCAGCUCCUUGAACUGCUUUGCGGUGACCAACCGUGGGUUGUCAUUGUUUCCACCUGCAUUAUGAACAUGUGUCUCUCGUUUGGUGUUACAUGAAUUCUAAAAAUCUCCUAAACGUAUCGUUGUUCGUCAUUUGAUCAAUGUUGUUUACAGGAGGAUUAUCGCUUUCCUGUUGCACAUUAUUCUGGCUAUUGAUCAGCGGUGACUCAACGGUCUCAUGUGCUCCAUUGCUUACCUCAACAUUUUCAGAUGCCAUUUUCAAAUACUGCCACAAAACAAGGGUUAAUUAACAAAUCAUAUAUUAUCCCUAUACCCUGACCGACCAAUUAAAUACCAAAUAAACUUAGGUAGGUCGUACUAGCGAAGGAAUUCCCCGUCUCUCCCCUCCUAGUUUUUGUCUCACCUCUCAGCCAGGGAUCAUAUCCCUAAGAUUUGAUACUAACUGUGACGCCCCCAAAAUUGGUAUACAUUACCCAUCUUGAAUCGCUAAAUACAUGGUACAUAAAUCAAACACAACUUAAUUAUACAACUGUCGUGUAAAAUACGAUAAAACAGAAAUUGAGAGUUUAAACAAGAGUAUUGUCUUCUAGACAAUAUCCACUCUCAAUGGAGUCCUCAUAGACAGUAUACAAACUCAAAUUCAGUCCUCAUUACAUUUAUUAUCACACUAUUUAACAGAAUAGUGAGAACUACUAAUGCUAUCAUCUGGACUGUCAAUCUGAUCCCCGACUUGUCCCAGCUAUAUUCUCAUUUCCUGAAGAGAACAGUGAAGGAAAGGGUGAGCUCAACUAGCCCAGUAAGAAAUAUUAUGACUAAGAUAAUGCAAAAUAAAUUAUCAUUAGUUUUCAACAAUGUUAAACUGAUAAAAUACAAUAAACAUCAAGUUUAACUGUAGCGGAACAAGCAAUCCAUUAAAAGAGUCAAAUAGAGAAUAAAAUCUACUAUCUUUUAUGAUUUAAAAAAGUUUUUCAUCACUUUUAUCGCUGAGACUCAACUUAAUAAAUAAUUCACAUCAUCCCUGCACUACGGCCAAGGAUAUUCAUUAGUAUCACGACCACAAAUUAUCCAUGCACUACGGGCCAAGGAUAUUUGUGUAUUCAUCAAUGGUCAUGAUCAUGCCAACAACUGUCCAUNNNNNNNNNNNNNNNNNNNNNNNNNNNNNNNNNNNNNNNNNNNNNNNNNNNNNNNNNNNNNNNNNNNNNNNNNNNNNNNNNNNNNNNNNNNNNNNNNNNNCUCAAUCCGACAAUAAUUCUAUUGUGGGGUCCACCAAUGAUUGUGCCGUCGUACAAAUAUUCUCUGUUAAAACGAAUAUUCCCCGACCAAUCGAAUAUUAUAUAACAACUUGCAUACUUUGCAAAAUUUAUAAAUACUACCCACAAUUAUAACAUUAUCUCAAAUUCACACCAUAAUAUUCAAAAAAAUAUUUUAAAAAAUUUAAAUCUUUAUUCAUAAAAUUUGGGAUUUUACAAUCUCAUCUCCUUAACUCGAAAUUUACGUACGUACCUGGUAUGCCGAACAGAUGAGGAUACCUUGUUAGAUUCUAAUUCUUGAGGUAUAACCUUUGAGUGUUGAAUACGAUCCUUCUUAUCCAAGAUUUUAACAUAUAUUUCUUCAUACAUUAAAUCUUCUGCUAUCUCGUUCGGUUCUAAAUCAAUAGUGGUUUAGGUCGUCCACAUAUUUACGUAACAUCGGUACGUGAUAAACGUUAUGAACACGCAACAUAUUUGGCGGUAAAACGAGUCUAUAGGCCAUAGUUCCUACUUAAUCGAGAAUUUCAAAUAGGCCAAUUAAAUCGAGGGUUGACAUUUCCUCUAUUCAUCAAUUCUUGCUUCUAGAAUAACGCCCUCUUGAACCUUCUUUUUUCACAUUCAUCAGCUUCGGAUGUGUAGUUUGAGCUGCUUUAACUUUAUCAAUUAAAGUCGAUUCUAAUCGUAUAUUUGAUAUCACCACGUGGGUCCUUAGAGUCUUUAACUCUAUCUUCAUCAUUUGUAAAUUAUACGAAAUGGGUUUUUGUGUUAACAACAUCGCACUCGUAAACACAUACGAUCUUCUACUCAACGCGUCAGCUACCACGUUCGCUCUUCCACGAUGAUAUUGACUGGUAUAAUCGUAAUCUUCAACAGCUCGAGCCAACGUCUUUGGCGCAUUAUACGUUCGUUUUAGUUGAAGAAAUAUUUAAGGGUUUUAGAAAUAGGGUUUUGUACUGGGGUCAGUACAAAAUUCGAUUUCACGCUCUGGGGUAGGCCACGAAGUCUUCAAAAAUACGUCAAGAAAUUUAUUAACGAUAUAAAUAUCAUUCAAAACUGUGACCCUCAUCCAAGACUUGGAUAACACGUCACAUUGAUACCUAUCAACUUGCCACCGUUAUUCACGACGUCCCCUACGGAUAGUCUGGCUUCGGUGCAUUCCACACAAGGAAGUCAACAACGAAAGGAUCAGAGCUCUUUACUUAUGGCUUGAUAUAAUAGUGAUUGACUUUAGUGGUUUGGUUGCUUGAAUUCGCAUAACAGGUUGGUUAGGAAUAUAAAAGCUAACCACCUUACAAAAAGCAUGAUGAGUAGUUAACCAAUCGAUUCCAAAAAUCACAUCAAAGGCAAGUAUUUUCAAAGAGAUAAGAUUGAUAGGUAACGUGAAAGUGUCGAUUUGAAUCAAACAAGAUUUAUAAAUAAUGGAUGUAACGAAGGUUUCUCCUAACAGAGUUUUAACAGAUAAGUCAAAGUCUAAUUUCUCAAUAGCCAAGUUCAAACAUUGAACACAACUAGGUGAAAUACAAGAGUGGGUAGAACCGGUAUCAAAUAAGGUAUAGACUUCGUAAGCGUUUAUGAUUAACUUACCCGUGACAACUUCGUUCGGGUUCCUCGACAAACACUCUCACUUAAACUACCGGCUUUGACUUGUCUGGGACAUCCUUUGGCGUCACCAUCCCAGCUGGACUUGACUUCACUACACGACAAAAUCGAGCUAGGUGACCUUCUCUUUCGCAAUUGAAACACGCUUUGGAUUACUGCGUACAGUUUAGACGGAUGUGUCCCUCCUGUCCGCAUUUGAAACAUACGACCGGUGGUCGUUCUUCUUCCUUUGAAACGGGUGCUGAUGCUGCUGUCUUUCCA